rnacentral:rRNA from 1 species
GAUGAACGCGGGCGGCGUGCCUAACACAUGCAAGUCGAGCGGUAAGGCCCCUUCGGGGGUACACGAGCGGCGAACGGGUGAGUAACACGUGAGGAACCUACCCCCCUCUCUGGGAUAACUCCGGGAAACCGGAGCUAAUACCGGAUACUCCGGCGUGACCGCAUGGUCGUGCCGGGAAAGCUCCGGCGGAGGGGGAUGGCCUCGCGGCCCAUUAGCUAGUUGGUAGGGUAACGGCCUACCAAGGCGACGAUGGGUAGCCGAGCUGAGAGGCUGAUCGGCCACACUGGGACUGAGACACGGCCCAGACUCCUACGGGAGGCAGCAGUGGGGAAUCUUGCGCAAUGGGCGAAAGCCUGACGCAGCAACGCCGCGUGCGGGAUGAAGGCCUUCGGGUUGUAAACCGCUUUCAGCAGGGACGAAACUGACGGUACCUGCAGAAGAAGCCCCGGCUAACUACGUGCCAGCAGCCGCGGUAAUACGUAGGGGGCUAGCGUUAUCCGGAUUCAUUGGGCGUAAAGCGCGCGUAGGCGGGCUGUUAAGUCAGAUGUGAAAACCGGGGGCUUAACCCGCGGCCUGCAUCUGAAACUGGCAGCCUCGAGUCUGGUAGAGGAAAGUGGAAUUCCCAGUGUAGCGGUGAAAUGCGCAGAUAUUGGGAGGAACACCAGUGGCGAAGGCGGCUUUCUGGGCCACGACUGACGCUGAGGCGCGAAAGCUAGGGGAGCAAACA